UAUGUUCUCACCUCAUGGAAGCCUUGCUUCUGUUCUACAUGGUACAAAGGAGCCCCUGAAGUGGAAAGUCAGGUUCAAAAUUGCACUUGGAAUUGCUGAAGGGCUGCUUUAUCUACAUGAAGGCUGCCAUCGCCGCAUAAUUCACAGGGACAUCAAGGCAUCUAAUAUCCUUCUAACUGAAGACUACCAACCUCAGAUAUCAGAUUUUGGGCUUGCAAAGUGGCUCCCUGACAAAUUGACCCAUUAUGUUGC